UACGUAGGGACCGAGCGUUGUCCGGAAUCAUUGGGCGUAAAGAGCGUGUAGGCGGCCAAUUAAGUCCUGCGUGAAAUCUCGGGGCUCAACCCCGAGCGGUCGUGGGAAACUGGUUGGCUAGAGUGCGGGAGAGGAGAGUGGAAUUCCUGGCGUAGCGGUGAAAUGCGCAGAUAUCAGGAGGAACACCGAUGGCGAAGGCAGGUC
rnacentral:rRNA from 1 species